AAGCUACAAAGAGCAGAUGGUGGAUGCCUUGGCUAACGAAGGCGAUGAAGGACGCACUAGGCUGCGAUAAGCCUCGGGGAGCCGUCAAGAGGCUUUGAUCCGGGGGUUUCCGAAUGGGGCAACCCGGCAGGUUUUAACGCCUGUCAUCGUAUUUAUACGAAGCGAACCUAGGGAAGUGAAACAUCUCAGUACCUAGAGGAAAAGAAAUCAAACGAGAUUUCCCCAGUAGCGGCGAGCGAAAGGGAAAGAGGGCAAACCAAGUGCUUGCACUUGGGGUUGUAGGACCGCAUUUAGGACUUCAACGGCUAGCUAAACAAUCUGGAAAGAUUGGGCAUAGAGGGUGAUACCCCCGUAAGCGAAAGCCCGCGAAGCCGAGCGGUAUCCUGAGUAGGACGGGACACGAGAAACCCUGUCUGAAGCUGGGAAGACCACUUUCCAACCCUAAAUACUACCGUUAGACCGAUAGCGCACAAGUACCGCGAGGGAAAGGUGAAAAGAACCCCGGCAAGGGGAGUGAAAUAGAACCUGAAACCAUCUGCUUACAAUCAUUUCGAGCCCUAUAGUUUACUAGGGUGAGAGACUGCCUUUUGCAUAAUGAGCCUGCGAGUUGCGUUCGGCGGCAAGGUUAAGGAAAUCCGGAGCCGAAGCGAAAGCGAGUCCGAAUAGGGCGCUUAGUCGCCGGAUGCAGACCCGAAGCGAAGUGAGCUAUCCAUGAUCAGGUUGAAGCGGGCGUAAAAACCCGUGGAGGACCGAACAGACGGCCAUUGAAACGGCUCCUGAUGAAUUGUGGAUAGGGGUGAAAGGCCUAUCAAACUUCGUGAUAGCUGGUUCUCUCCGAAAUAUAUUUAGGUAUAGCCUCAUGAAGCAAGCAUAGGAGGUAGAGCACUGAUUAGGCUAGGGCGGCGUCAAGCUGUACCAAACCUUGUCAAACUUCAAAUGCCUAUGCCCAAGCCAUGGGAGACAGGCGGCGAGUGAUAAAAUCCGUCGCCAAAAGGGCAACAACCCAGACUACCGGCUAAGGUCCCCAAGUCAUCGCUCAGUGGAAAAGGAUGUCGAAUUACUCUGACAACUAGGAGGUUGGCUUAGAAGCAGCCAUCCUUUAAAGAAAGCGUAACAGCUCACUAGUCUAGUGAUUCGGCGCCGAAAAUAUAACGGGGCUAAAGCGAUGCACCGAAACCGUAGAUUUACGCUGAUGCGUAAGUGGUAGGAGAGCGUUGAUAACAGCGUCGAAGGCGUAUCGGUAAGAAGCGCUGGAGCGUUAUCAAGUGAGCAUGCAGGCAUGAGUAGCGAUAAAAGAGGCGAGAAUCCUCUUCGCCGUAAACCCAAGGUUUCCUACGCGAUGCUCGUCAUCGUAGGGUAAGUCGGGUCCUAAGUCGAGUCCGAAAGGGGUAGACGAUGGCAAAUCGGUUAAUAUUCCGAUACCUGCCGUUUUUAGGUUAUGGGGGGACGCAUAGGGUUAAGCGAGGCGGGUGAUGGAAUACCCGUUCGAAGGCUGUAGGUUGGAUCGUAGGCAAAUCCGCGAUCCUUUAUCCGAGAGCUGACAGGCAGGCGAGGCGUUUCGGCGCUGAACCUGAAUCGCUGAUACCGUCGUGCCGAGAAAAGCCUCUAAACCGUUUGAUAAAACGACAGCCCGUACCGUAAACCGACACAGGUGGGUGAGAUGAAUAUUCUAAGGCGCGUGGAAGAACUCUGGUUAAGGAACUCUGCAAACUAACACCGUAUCUUCGGUAUAAGGUGUGCCUAUAUGGUGUAGUCCCUCGCGGAUGAAGCCUACAUAGGCCGCAGAGAAUAGUCCCUCCCGACUGUUUAUCACAAACACAGCACUCUGCUAACUCGUAAGAGGAUGUAUAGGGUGUGACGCCUGCCCGGUGCCGGAAGGUUAAGGGGAUUAGUCAGCCGUAAGGUGAAGCUUUGAACCGAAGCCCCGGUAAACGGCGGCCGUAACUAUAACGGUCCUAAGGUAGCGAAAUUCCUUGUCGGUUAAAUACUGACCUGCAUGAAUGGCGUAACGAGAUGGGAGCUGUCUCAACCAGUGAUCCAGUGAAAUUGUAGUGGAGGUGAAAAUUCCUCCUACCCGCGGAAAGACGGAAAGACCCCGUGGACCUUUACUAUAGCUUGGUAUUGCAUUUGAGAUCAGUCUGUGCAGGAUAGGUGGGAGGCUUUGAGAUAUGGGCGCUAGCUCGUAUUGAGCCGCCGUUGAGAUACCACCCUGACUGGUCUUGGAUGCUAACUCGCAUCGGUUAUCCCGAUGGAGGACACUGCCUGGUGGGUAGUUUGACUGGGGCGGUCGCCUCCCAAAAUGUAACGGAGGCUUACGAAGGUUGGCUCAGUCCGGUUGGAAAUCGGACACAGAGUGUAAUGGCAUAAGCCAGCCUGACUGUGAGAGAGACACCUCGAGCAGAGACGAAAGUCGGUCAUAGUGAUCCGGUGGUUCUGUGUGGAAGGGCCAUCGCUCAAAGGAUAAAAGGUACCCCGGGGAUAACAGGCUGAUCUCCCCCAAGAGCUCACAUCGACGGGGAGGUUUGGCACCUCGAUGUCGGCUCAUCGCAUCCUGGGGCUGUAGCAUGUCCCAAGGGUUUGGCUGUUCGCCAAUUAAAGCGGUACGCGAGCUGGGUUCAGAACGUCGUGAGACAGUUCGGUCCCUAUCUUCCGUGGGCGCAGGAGCGUUGAGGAGAGCUGACUCUAGUACGAGAGGACCGAGUUGGACGCGCCUCUGGUGAACCGGUUGUCCUGCCAAGGGCACCGCCGGGUAGCUAAGCGCGGAACGGAUAACCGCUGAAAGCAUAUAAGCGGGAAGCCGACUCCAAGAUGAACGCUCCCUGAAGGUCGCAGAUAGACUAUCUGCUUGAUAGGUCAGGGGUGUAAGCGCAGUAAUGCGUUCAGCCGACUGAUACUAAUCGACCGUUCGGCUUUUUU
rnacentral:rRNA from 1 species